rnacentral:tRNA from 1 species
GGGGCAGUAGCUCAGUUGGAAGAGCAUCACGUUCGCAACGUGGGGGCCGUGGGUUCGAAUCCCAUCUGCUCCACCA